rnacentral:lncRNA from 1 species
CUCUCCCAUCCAGGCUGCCGUGUAACGCUGAGCAGUGAUUCGGUUGUAUAUACAUAUGUAUCCUUUCUCGGAAUCUUUUCCUUCAUGAUUUAUCACACGCUAUUGAAGAUAAUGCUAUGCAAUAGGACCUUCUUGUUCUGGAUAGUAGUUUAAAAGGGUUGUUGGAAAUAGCUCCCAGCUUGUAAAGCAGUUGAGUCAGGGUGGGUGGGUGCGUCAGUGAGCUGUGUGUAACCAGGCCUGCCCUGCCGCGCUUUAAUUAGCACCAAGCUAGUUGCUUUCUAAGGUCCAUUUCUGGAACAAAGAACAACUUCCUUUUGUUGAUGACUUUUGUUGCUGAUGCAGUACCUGUCGAAAUCUAAGCUGACUUUCUAAAUCUUUUGAAAUCUAAAUCCACUUUCUGAUACUUUUGCUAGAUUGGUUUAAAUAAAGGCCUUACUAUGUUUUUUUUCCUCUUUGUGCCAGUUGGAAGAAAUAUUACUGAACAUAAAUGUGUCUACAUUUACCUGCUGAGAGAGGACUUGUUGAUGCUUUGCUGAAACCAUGCUUUUUCCUGAUGGGUCAUUAGAUGCGGGUUGCAGGCUUUGAGACGGGGCCCUUUGAGACUGACUCACUCGGCUGCCAGACCUGCAGGAGCCCGAGUGGUGAGCUGGGUUCUCCACCCCACAAGGAGGAGAUGAUGAAACUAUGGAGCCGUCACUCUGAGAGUUGAGUCCCUGCCUGACGUGUUCAGAGUGCACCAGAGUUGUUGAAACUGGGUGGUGCUUGUGACAGUAACAUAGCCAAGAGUAUUUAAUUUCUUUUCUUUUGAACUUUUUAUUUAGUGUUGGGGUAUAGCCAGUUAAUAUUACGUUGUGACCGUUUCAGGUGAACAGCAAAGGGCCUCAGCCAUACUUACACGUGUAUCGACUCCCCGCAGCCUCUCUCCCAUCCAGGCUGCCGUGUAACGCUGAGCAGAGUUCCCUGUGCUCUACACUAGGUCCUUGUUGGUCAUCCAGUUCACAUAUAGCAGUGUGUGCAUGUCCAUCCCAAAUGCCAUACCUGUCCCUUCCUCCAUCCUUAUUCCCCUGGCAACCGUAAGUUCGUUUUAUAAGUCUGUGAGUCUCAAGAGUGUUUAAUUUUCUAAAAACACUCAUAAGAAAACUUCUUAAAGCAAACUCUGCUUACAGCUAAUACUUUACAUUUAUCCAGCGAUCGCCUCGCCCCUGAAGAACUUUGACUCCAGUAGGGGACGUGAGCAAAAGUGCGUGAGAAGGAGUUCCUGCCACCGUCGUCUGCUGCCCAGUGAGUGAAUGUGGGGCUUGAGUGAAACCCACGGAAAAGUCUUAGACACUUCACUUCCAUCUCGUUCAUGAGCCACGUACCAUUACGAACCAUAUAAGUUUGUACAACUUUUCGGUAGAAUAAAGAUUAUUAAUAAAGUCGAGUGAUAUCAGUGAGUCCUGGCUCCAGAAAGGAGGAGGAGCGGUCUCCCCACAGGAGGGUGGUCAAGGUAAGUGCUCCUGCCACCUCCCGCCGCCGCACUGGGAGAAGGGGGUGCAGGCCCUGCAGAGCAGGGGGGCGGCAGGGAAGAGGGUGCCUGGGGCUCCUGGGGAGGAGGGGGCUCCAGGGGCUGGGGUUCCUCUGAAAAUUCUGGUGGGGGUCUCAACAAGUGGAAAGGGAAGACAACGGCCCUACUGCUAAGGGGUCAAAAUUAAAUGCUCUGUAAGUAUAUUCUGUAACCCUGUUUGGUAAAGCCUUGCCUGCUAUAUAGGGUGUCGUUUUGGGCUGUGGGGUUUGUUUUGUUGAGUCAAUCGGAUUAUCAAGAGUUUUCCUUAUUAGAAAGCAAAACGGCUCCCUCUGGAAACAGCAGAGUUUAAGGCCGACUAGGGGGGCACAGAGUCGGUGAGGAUCCAACUUCCUUUUAAUAUCAGAAUUUUAUAUUACUGAGGGCUCAGUAUUUUGAAAAUGUUUCUGUCCACUGCGUCCUGUGAGCAGCACAGCCCCCAGUGAAAACACCCAUUGAAAAUAUCCCUCUGUUCUCUCUUUUCAAGACGUUUUGUCGAGAUUGUGCAGAAACCUGGGGUUUUGGUUGUGACUAGUAUGUGGGGUUUUCCCUCUGCCUUGGAAAACUGGGAUUUAACAUUAUUACACUGAGUUCCUGCUUGGUCCCUCCUGCAGUGUCGCCUGAACACCUGGAGGUGUCCUCCAGGUCUGAGGGGGGGAACCGCUGGGGUGGGCGUGUGUGGCUUUUGCCUG